rnacentral:lncRNA from 1 species
CUUUAUCAUGCAAAAAUUUCCAUAGGUCUUCAGCACCCACAGUCUGUUCUAUGGUAUAGUCAAAAGUUACCUGCUGCUAGCACACAAAGCCAUUAGAACUGCUCUUUCAGUGCAAUUUAGUGCUGCUGAGGACUGUCACUACUUCAGUCUGCUGCUUCUUGCUUACAGCAUUUGAAGCCCGAACAUCUGCAUCCGUUUAGAGAAGGUCUGGAAGCCAGGUAUUGGCCAGAUUUGACUGCUCACAAAAGCUCAGAGAAAGAUGAGACAACCUCCUUCUUCCCUAGAUAAGGAGAAAUCUGGAUUUUUUCUUCCACUUGCCAGACAGACAGAAAAAUUACUCCUUCAAGGUAGAGCAAGAGCAAUUGCACUAUCCCCUUAAUCAGUACCUGCAGCGUAUCAAGCUCAUCAUCUUGAUGGUAAUAGCUGUUUGACAAGACAGGGUAAAAGUGAUAGUCUUCUGAAAAUGAGAUAACAAUCCAGCUUGAAAAGGGAACCAAAAGAAAAGGGAAAAAAAGAGAAAAAAAAAAAAGAAAAACUAGAGACAUGACCCCGUGUAAGGUGUCUUUUAAUUUAAUUUCAUCCUAGGAUAACAGUUUGCCCCAAAACGUCUUCUGUGAGUCACGUACGGUGUUUCAAUCUGUCAUCUUGUAUUGACCAGGCUAACAUGGAAAUAUACUGCACUGAGCUUUUGUCAGGCUUACCAGCUUGGUCUAAAAUUUGAUGAUUUCUUUUUUAGUCCAUAACUGUGCUUCUACUUUCUUCUCUCACACGCAGAGAGCUCAAAAUGGAAAAUUCAUCCAAAUGCAAAAAGAAACAGCAUGAUCUGGCUCACAGCCCCUCAGAAGUACAGGCAAAAUUGGAUUUUACCCUUUUCCUAAACAUUAAGGCCCAGAGUCAGCCAAUGCUAUAAGGAAUAACGGAAAGGGAAAUGAAGAGGAAUGAGAACAGUCAGCAGAGCAGCAACAGGGAAACUUGCCAUUCCUGCUGAUUUUGCCCCAGGAGGACCCACAGCCAAAAUCCUACAGACACAUGGGACGGUAUUUGCUGUUGAGAAGAUCUUGCCAUCUAAACAUAUCAGACAACGUAAGAAGAGGAAUGGAAUCACAUUAGGGGAUAAUGAUUUGUCCAUGCUCUGAAAGAACUCCUUGGCAUCAAAUUAAGCCCAGAUCUCUGCCUAAGCCCUUACUGUCAGUUAGCCAAACAGAUAUGGAAAGACUAAUAAAG